GAUGAACGCUAGCGACAGGCUUAACACAUGCAAGUCGAGGGGCAACGAGAAAGUGCUUGCACUUUUGUCGGCGACCGGCGCACGGGUGAGUAACACGUGUGCAACCUGCCCUUGUCAGGGGGAUAAGCGGGGGAAACCCCGUCUAAUCCCGCAUAUGUGGUUUGGAGGCAUGUCUCAAUCAGGAAAGAAUUAUCGGACAAGUGUGGGCAUGCGUAUGAUUAGCUAGUUGGCGGGGUAACGGCCCACCAAGGCGACGAUCAUUAGGGGUUCUGAGAGGAAGGUCCCCCACAUUGGAACUGAGACACGGUCCAAACUCCUACGGGAGGCAGCAGUGAGGAAUACUGGUCAAUGGACGCAAGUCUGAACCAGCCAUGUCGCGUGAAGGAUGACUGUCCUAUGGAUUGUAAACUUCUUUUAUAUGGGGAUAAAGUGUGAGACUUGUCUCAUUUUGCAUGUACCGUAUGAAUAAGCAUCGGCUAACUCCGUGCCAGCAGCCGCCGUAACAC
rnacentral:rRNA from 1 species